CAUUCCAAUAAAAAAAAAGCACAAGGAUCAAAUAAAAUUCAUUGAAUUAUUUAUCUCAUGUUGUUUUUGUAUCUGUUGUUGCAUCUCUAAAAGUCUACCCUUCAGGAUGUGCACAAAUGAUCACUUCCUUCCUCUUCAAACGCUGCCACUGAAGCAAGGCCUAAUCGCCUUCUCCGACUGAACCUAUACCAUCUAUCCCUACCUGCUGAUCAUCACCUGAGAGCAGUGGACCAAAGAUGAAGUCCUGACAAGCUGUAAAAAUGUCUCAGGCUGUUUACGUGAUGCCAAGCAGAGGUUCAAAUCAGCCAUCAGGUCCAGCCAUCUGUCCUCUCCAAGUGAAGACCAGACUGGACGUCAAAACAUCAUGCAAAGAGCCAGAAGCUUCUCAAAGACAAAAUAAAGCAGCGGUGCAGAACCAGGA